GAGUAGCUCAAUUGGAUAGAGCAACGGCCUUCUAAGCCGUCGGUUGGGGGUUCGAAUCCCUUCU
rnacentral:tRNA from 1 species